CUGCUUCGCUGACGAGUGGCGGACGGGUGAGUAAUGUCUGGGAAACUGCCUGAUGGAGGGGGAUAACUACUGGAAACGGUGGCUAAUACCGCAUAACGUCGCAAGACCAAAGAGGGGGACCUUCGGGCCUCUUGCCAUCAGAUGUGCCCAGAUGGGAUUAGCUUGUUGGUGAGGUAACGGCUCACCAAGGCGACGAUCCCUAGCUGGUCUGAGAGGAUGACCAGCCACACUGGAACUGAGACACGGUCCAGACUCCUACGGGAGGCAGCAGUGGGGAAUAUUGCACAAUGGGCGCAAGCCUGAUGCAGCCAUGCCGCGUGUAUGAAGAAGGCCUUCGGGUUGUAAAGUACUUUCAGCGGGGAGG
rnacentral:rRNA from 1 species